AAGGAUUUAGUUUAAAUAAAACAUUAAUUUGUCAAAUUAAAAAUAAUUUAUUAUUAAUUCUUU
rnacentral:tRNA from 1 species